UUCCUCUCUUCCCAUAACAAAUACACUAAAAACAAGAGGAUCCCUACAAUUAUACUUGGACAAAAACAAUUUUAUUGUCACAUGGUGAUCAAGCGCAUCCUAACAACUCAUGAUUUUGUGGCAUCUUAGAUUUACAAUUUUUACAACGGAUAAGCGAUGGAGAUUCUGA